rnacentral:rRNA from 1 species
GCAGUAGCCGCGGGAAUACGGAGGGUGCAAGCGUUAAUCGGAAUUACUGGGCGUAAAGCGCACGCAGGCGGUCUGUCAAGUCAGAUGUGAAAUCCCCGGGCUUAACCUGGGAACUGCAUUUGAAACUGGCAGGCUAGAGUCUUGUAGAGGGGGGUAGAAUUCCAGGUGUAGCGGUGAAAUGCGUAGAGAUCUGGAGCAAUACCGGUGGCGAAGGCGGCCCCCUGGACAAAGACUGACGCUCAGGUGCGAAAGCGUGGGGAGCAAACAGGAUUAGAUACCCCAGUAGUCCCUGUCUCUUAUAU